rnacentral:rRNA from 1 species
GACGAACGCUGGCGGCGUGCUUAACACAUGCAAGUCGAACGGGGUUAAGGAGCUUGCUUCUUAACUUAGUGGCGAACGGGUGAGUAACGCGUGAGGAACCUGCCUUUCAGAGGGGGACAACAGUUGGAAACGACUGCUAAUACCGCAUGACACUUACGAACGGCAUCGUUUGUAAGUCAAAGAUUUAUCGCUGAAAGAUGGCCUCGCGUCUGAUUAGCUAGUUGGUGGGGUAACGGCCCACCAAGGCGACGAUCAGUAGCCGGACUGAGAGGUUGACCGGCCACAUUGGGACUGAGAUACGGCCCAG